GCCUCGUUACAUCAGUUGGUUAGAGCGUCGUACUAAUGAGACAUCAUACCAUUGGUGAUGCGAAGGUCAUGAGUUCGACCCUCAUCCUGAGCG